AUUGAACGCUGGCGGCAGGCCUAACACAUGCAAGUCGAACGAGUGGCGGACGGGUGAGUAAUGUCUGGGAAACUGCCUGAUGGAGGGGGAUAACUACUGGAAACGGUAGCUAAUACCGCAUACCAUCAGAUGUGCCCAGAUGGGAUUAGCUAGCUGCUGGGGUAACGGCUCACCAAGGCGACUAUCCCUAGCUGGUCUGAGAGGAUGACAAGCCGCACAGGAACUGAGACACAGUCAAGACUCCUACGGGAGGCAGCAGUGGGGAAUAUUGCACAAUGGGCGCAAGCCUGAUGAAGCCAUGCCGCGUGAAUGAAGAAGGCAUUCGGGUUGUAAAGUACUUUCAGCGGGGAGGCGAUACCCGCAGAAGAAGCACCGGCUAACACCGUGCCAGCAACCGCGGUAAUAC
rnacentral:rRNA from 1 species